CACAGAUGCAUACACACACACACACACAGAGAUGCAUACACACACCACAUACACACGCACAGAUGCAUACACACACAUAUAUGCAGACAAGACACAUACACACACCACACACUACACACACACACGCACAGAUGCAUACACACACCACAUACGCACACAUAUACGCAGACAAGACGCAUGCAAAUACCACACACACACGCAUAGAUGCAUGCACACACCACACACUACACACAAGGCACGCACAACACACCACACACACAUGCACAGAUGCAUACACACCAGACACUACACACACAAUGCAUGCACAACACACACUAUGCACACAGAUGCAUACACACACCACACACGCACACACACGCAGACGACACAUGUGCACCACACAUAGAUGCAUGCACAUACCACACACAUCACACGCAAUGCAUGCAAAACACACUACACACACACGCAGACAAGACGCAUGCACACCACACACACAGAUGCAUGCACACCACACACACAGAUGCAUGCACACACCACACACUACACACACAGAUGCAUGCACACACCACACACUACACACACAUACACACAAUGCAUGCACACCACACACACUACAUACAUACAGAUGCACACACCACACACUACACACACAAUGCAAUAAUUCAUGCACACCAUAUACACUACGCACACACACAUACUGCAUGCAUACCAUACACACACACACUCGCACGCACAGGCCCAUGCACACGCCACACACAGACGCGUGCUCACAAAAGCCCGCCAUGACGCUGUCCCUGGU
rnacentral:lncRNA from 1 species